UACGAGGGGGGCGAGCGUUGUUCGGAAUUACUGGGCGUAAAGCGUGCGCAGGCGGUUUUGUAAGUCAGAUGUGAAAUCCCCGGGCUUAACCUGGGAACUGCGUUUGAAACUACAAGGCUAGAGUGUGGCAGAGGGGGGUGGAAUUCCACGUGUAGCAGUGAAAUGCGUAGAGAUGUGGAGGAACACCGAUGGCGAAGGCAGCCCCCUGGGUUAACACUGACGCUCAGGCACGAAAGCGUGGGGAGCAAACAGG
rnacentral:rRNA from 1 species